UACGAAGGGGGCUAGCGUUGCUCGGAAUCACUGGGCGUAAAGCGCACGUAGGCGGAUCUUUAAGUGAGGGGUGAAAUCCCGAGGCUCAACCUCGGAACUGCCUUUCAUACUGGCAAUCUUGAGUCCGGGAGAGGUGAGUGGAACUCCUAGUGUAGAGGUGAAAUUCGUAGAUAUUAGGAAGAACACCAGUGGCGAAGGCGGCUCACUGGCCCGGAACUGACGCUGAGGUACGAAAGCGUGGGGAGCAAACAGG
rnacentral:rRNA from 1 species